UACAGAGGGGGCAAGCGUUAUUCGGAAUUAUUGGGCGUAAAGGGCGCGUAGGCGGCUUUUCAAGUGACGGGUGAAAUCCCUCGGCUUAACCGAGGAACUGCCUGUCAGACUGGAAGGCUUGAGACCGGGAGAGGUGAGUGGAAUUCCCAGUGUAGCGGUGAAAUGCGUAGAUAUUGGGAGGAACACCAGUGGCGAAGGCGGCUCACUGGACCGGUACUGACGCUGAGGCGCGAAAGCGUGGGUAGCAAACAGG
rnacentral:rRNA from 1 species